AGGAGUUUGAUCAUGGCUCAGAGUGAACGCUGGCGGCAGGCCUAAUACAUGCAAGUCGAACGGCAGCACAGCAGAGCUUGCUCUGUGGGUGGCGAGUGGCGGACGGGUGAGGAAUACGUGGGAAUCUGCCCAGUCGUGGGGAUAACGUAGGGAAACUUACGCUAAUACCGCAUGCGCCCUUCGGGGGAAAGCCGGGGACCUUCGGGCCUGGCGCGAUUGGAUGAGCCCACGUCGGAUUAGCUAGUUGGCGGGGUAAAGGCCCACCAAGGCGACGAUCCGUAGCUGGUCUGAGAGGAUGAUCAGCCACACUGGAACUGAGACACGGUCCAGACUCCUACGGGAGGCAGCAGUAGGGAAUAUUGGACAAUGGGCGCAAGCCUGAUCCAGCCAUGCCGCGUGAGUGAAGAAGGCCCUCGGGUUGUAAAGCUCUUUUGUCCGGAAAGAAAAGCGCCGGGUUAAUACCCUGGUGUCCUGACGGUACCGGAAGAAUAAGCACCGGCUAACUUCGUG
rnacentral:rRNA from 1 species